CAGAAAUUCAUCUGCAGAGAAGAAGACAUUAAAUGCUCUUUCCAAAUCGAGAUUUUUCACUACUGACAAUUAUAACUCUCAUGGAAAUUCACCGACGCCAUGUGCAGGCGUAGCUCUGUGGUAAUAAGUUUGCUUCCCAACCACAUGGUUCCGGAUUCAAUAGCUUCAAUUGCACUGCGUGACACCUUGGGUUAUUGUCUUCUACUCUACUCUUCAGCCGACCAAAGCCUUCUGAUUGCAUUUAGUAUACGGAAACUGAAAGAAAUUCGUCAUGUACAUAUAUAUGUAUACAGGGUGUGAUAAAUAAACUGUCGUCUAAAUUAAGCGUAAAUGAAAAUAACACUGACAUUUCAUUUUUAAAAAUAUAUUUACCCAAAUUGCAUAAAAAUAUCUUGAAAUACUAAAGAAUAAAUUUAUUCAAUAAAAUCGCCAUUGGCUUCAACCACGGCCUCCAGAUGACUUCGGAAUCUCCUGCAA